GGAAGGGUCGGGAGCCAGCGAGACUUCGAUCCUCCUGGUGGGCUAGAGCGGCGCCACCGCCGGGCGCCCGCGGCCAUGGAGGACGAGAAGAGCUAUUCGGAUAUCUGCGGCGGCCGCCUGGCCUUGCGGCGCCGCUACUACUCGCCAUACUGCCGCGAGUUCGGCCUCAGCUCGGCUCGGCUGUCGCUGCGCUCGCUCACCGCGGUCACCUGCGCCGUGUGGCUGGCGGCCUACGGACUCUUCACCCUGUGCGAGAAUAGCAUGAUCCUCUCUGCUGCCAUCUUCAUCACCAUCAUAGGCCUGCUUGGUUACCUCCACUUUGUGAAGAUUGAUCAGGAGACUCUAUUAAUCAUUGAUUCACUUGGUAUCCAGAUGACUUCAUCCUAUGCUUCAGGCAAAGAAAGUACCACCUUCAUAGAGAUGGCCAAGGUCAAGGAUGUUAUCAUCAAUGAGGCUAUUUACAUGCAGAAGGUGAUUUACUACCUCUGCAUUUUAUUGAAGGAUCCAGCGAAGCCACAGGAGAUAUCCCAAGUAGUUCCUGUCUUCCAGAUGUCAGACAAAGAAGUAGAACAGUAGAAAGAAUGACCUCCGUCCACAUCACCUGUCUUCACUCUGCAUUAAGGCCUGAUCCUGCACACUGACCAUCUCAGCACUUGGGGAGCUGAGGCAAGUGGAUCCCAAGUCCAGAUGGACCACACAACAAAAUCCUGCAAGAACAGAACUUAAAGUGGGAAGGGCUUUUUCCUACAGGAAAUACCGACCGACAGUUCUCAGGCGACAGAAAGACUCCGAAGUCUGUGGAAAGGAGCUGGGAAUGUAACGACCUCAGGACAGAAUUUCAGACCUGCAAAGACCUUAAAGGUCACCUAGUUCAAAACUGGUAAACAAUGGUCCUGAGGCCAGACUCAGUCUUCCCCGUUUGUCUCCCACACAUUUAUCAUAAAUAAAGCUUUAUUGGAACACAGCUAUGCCCACUCAUUUACCGAUCAUCAAUGUUGAUUUCACCCUGUGACAACAGAACUGGACAAUUGCAGCAGUGACUAUAUGGUCUGCAAAGGCAAAACCUGUUGAAUUCCUUGGCCUGUACAGAAAGCCAGUGGACUCCUGACACCCUCUCAGUACAGCCAUGGAAACUGAGGCCCAGGGUUGAAAUGCAACAGCUCAUCUUCAGCCAGUCAAGACUCAAAGAACAGCAUUCUUUCUCAUCUGGUCUUCACCUACUGAUUAUAAUUGUAAACAAUAGUUUUUCUAACCUGGGAUCAAGUCAUUUUCGUCCCACUAACCACUUCUUCCAACUCUGAGCUACUCAAAGGAAAAAAAAUCUCUAAAAUCAGUGGGUAAAAUUCUAUCUUCCUGGACACAAGGUGUCCAACUGCAUCAAAGGCACAUCCAGAGGGAAAUGUUCAGUGAAUACUGACAAUUACGAUUCACCCACAAUGACUGGAAGGGACUGCUUGGAUCAGCUGAAACCUUUACAGAGAAUGUACGUGUAGAGAAGUCAAAGUCUCCUGACUCUACCACUGGGCUUGUGAUUGGGGAUGGAUAGUAAGAUGGCACCAGGGGAAAGCUGGGCAGAUGAAGCCAGUGAGAAAGGACAGAAGGGACCAAGAUGGGGAGGACACGGUAGCAUGUGUCCAUAAUCCAGCACUUGGAAGGUGGAGGCAGGAAGAUGAGGAGGUCAAAGCCAUACUGGGCUGCAUGAUGGUGGUGAUAGGACUAUGAAGGGGAGGAGUCUGGGCACAGGAAGCAGCAGAGGGGCCAGAGGGGCUCUCAAGUCCCUAGGAGCAAGAAUGCUAACUUGCUGCAGUCCUGGACAGAGGUCUGUCUAUCAGGCUCCCAUGAACUUGUGAGAAGUCUCCAUUUUAGUGGCAACUCUAUUCUCUAUUCUCAGGUUCAUUGAGAAACUUCGGCCAACCAGCUGACCAAGGCUGACCAUCCAGUCCUAGGCUGUUUCAGGCACACUACAGCCAAGUCUCAAGUAGCACAUGCUGGCCUGGCACAAGGCCAUCACAGAGAAGGAAAAGAUCUCCUUACCAAGCCCCGACCACGUGUCUGAUAUUAUACACAGAUACCUAGGGGUAAUUAUACCUCAAACCUCAGAGGUUUCAUAACCUCUAUUGUAUGAACUGUAAAGUGAGAAUCAGUGAGUCAGGCAAUUUCCCCAGAGAGCAGCAGGCAGCAAAGGGGGCAUUCCCCACCCCCACCCCCAGAUCAGUAUGCCUCCAGUGUCUGCUUCCUCUGUGUUUCCCUAGCUUCUAAUGAACAGAUGUGAAGAAGACACUAUCGAUCAGCAUACACAAGUAGUUUCAUGAAAACUGAGUUCCCCAUCACUCAGGACUCAAGCACGGGGGCGGCACAGGGGCUAGAGACACCGAGGCCAACUGAUACAGAUGCUGAGAGGGGAAGUAGGCUCUGCCUCACAUCAGCCCCUACCUGCUUCUCCAGCUGUGCCUCCAGCUGGCCGAUGCGCUCAUCUUUGCUUUGCAUGGCUCUCAGCAAUUCUUGGUACUUUUGGUGCAAGCUUCCUGGGGAGUCCACACUCUUCAGAUUGGACAGUUUUAUCUUCUCUUCCAUCACACCCACCUGAAAAGUACCAACAAAUCCUCAUAAGGUCUCAGAUCACUCAUGUAGUGUGUGCAAUGGCCAAUACCAUAUGGAAUGGGCUAACCCCUUGAUGCUUCAGAUCUGGACCAGCUAAUGAAGUGGCCAUUGAUGCUUUUAUCUGAGCAAAAGAAGAAACCGACAACAGAGAAAUUCAUCUUGGCUACUCUGAAAAGACCAGCUACAUCUUGGGCCACAGUCUUUGUGUGGCGGGGAGGAGGGGUGGUGUUAGGAAGGAGUGAGCAGUUGGGUUCGGGAGGACAUCUGCUCCCACCCUAGUGGAGCAAAGAUACUACUCAGAGGACACCCAUGUAUGGUGAUAUUUUGUUGUACUCUAAUAAAAUUUGCCUGAAGA